CUUGGAUUUAGGACGGCUUCAAUCGAAUCAACACUUGGAUUGUUGAAUGGCCCUGGUCCAUAACCCUUGUUCAAGUAGAGGUUAUAAGG
rnacentral:tRNA from 1 species